rnacentral:rRNA from 1 species
GAUCCUGGCUUAGGAUGAACGCUAGCUACAGGCUUAACACAUGCAAGUCGAGGGGCAGCAUGUUGGUUGCUUGCAACCGAUGAUGGCGACCGGCGCACGGGUGAGUAACGCGUAUCCAACCUUCCCCUUAGUAGGGCAUAGCCCGUAGAAAUGCGGAUUAAUACCCUAUGUUCUUCGAAGCGGUCAUCCAAUUUGAAGCAAAGAUUCAUCGCUAAGGGAUGGGGAUGCGUCCGAUUAGGUUGUUGGCGGGGUAACGGCCCACCAAGCCAUCGAUCGGUAGGGGUUCUGAGAGGAAGGUCCCCCACAUUGGAACUGAGACACGGUCCAAACUCCUACGGGAGGCAGCAGUGAGGAAUAUUGGUCAAUGGGCGGGAGCCUGAACCAGCCAAGUAGCCGUGCAGGAUGACGGCCCUAUGGGUUGUAAACUGUCUUUUAUCAGGGGAUAAAGUGGCCCACGUGUGGGUUUUUGUAGGUACCUGAUGAAUAAGGACCGACUAAUUCCGUGCCAGCCGCCGC